UCCAUCUCUCUCUCUCUCUCUCUCUCUCUCUCCUCCCCCUCUCUUCCGUCGGCACCCCCCUCUCCAUCUUCUUCUUCUUGCUGCUAGGGUUCCUGCUGUGUGAAGAACCAGUAGCUCGCCGGCUUGCUCACAUGCCCAACCGGCCACCCAUUCGGCUGCUCAUCGCCAGCCGCCCCUCCGCCCGCUCGCCAUCGCUCAGCCCGCGCCACCGUCGCCCUUUCUCCUCCAUCUCCGCUGCAGCUCGACGCACCCAGCAGAUCUGAGAAGGGGUCGAAGCUGGCUGCAGCCCAGCCGGAACGCCGUCACGCACCCCUCGCGCGCCGUCCGUCGCUCGCGCGCCUCCAGCGCGUCAUCGCCGUCCUGGCCGUCGUCCCGGCCUCCUUCUCGCCCAGCUCGUCGUCCCAAGCUGUUGUUCAACUUGUGCAGGAGCUGCCGGAGCUCGUCCCCGCCGCCGUGAGGCCUCGUCUAGCCGCUGCCUCGCCCGUCCGAGCCACCGUCGAGCUGCCGCCCCGAUCCUCUGCCCAUUCCGACGCCGGAUCAGUGCUUCUCGGCCCCAAAACAGUAGUCGCAAAAAUGGGUAUGGCAGCACCUAUUUGGCCCCUUUUGGCCGUCUUCCCGAGCCCAGAUGCUCGGCCCGCCUUGAGGAAAGUCGAUCCUCGCGUCGUCCUCGUCGUUUUGGUUCGCUCGGCUCGCUAAUCGGGUGAGUUUAGCUCACUAAAUCUUAAUUAGACGGUUAAUGAUGCUCUAAGUGUGCUUAGCCUAAGUUAAAUAAGCUUAGGUGAUUAGUUUAGUUUAUUUAAUUAUGAAUUAGAUUAAGAUGUUUGUUUAAUUUAAAGUAUGCUUAAUUAAAGACUAAGAGAGUUUAUUUAAUAAUAAACCUUGAUGGGACAUAAUAGGAUUUUAAUUUUGAAUUAUUUAAUUGCUUCGAAAUUCUGGAAAUUAUAAUAUUAUAUUAUAAUCCGAAAUUAUUAAAAUAUUAUUAUUUAAAAAAAUGGAAAAAUUAUUUUUGACCCCGAUUGCUCAGAAUUUCGUGCUGAUCGCUGUUAUGUAUUUGGAUUUUGAAAUUGAUGAUUAGAUGUUAUAAAUUGAGUGUGGAUUGCAAAAAAUAUGGAUAUUAUUAUAUAAUUAAUUUUCGGAAUAAAUUUAAUUAUUUAUUAAAUUCCGAAAAUUUCGUCAGGACCUUAUUCUCUCAAAAUUUCGUACUGAUCGCUGCUGUAUAUUUAGAAUUUGAAUUUGAUGAUUGAUUGUGGAAAAUGGAGUGUGAUUGUGAUAAAUAGGGAUUCUUUUUAUAAAGUCUCAAGUGUCGAAAUUUAUGGAAGAUUGGCUGUGAUUAACCACCUAUUAAAGGUCGUGCCCAGUGGGGCCGUGAAUUGCCACCUGAUAAAGGUCGUGCUCAGUGGGGCCGUGAAUUGCCAACUGAUAAAUGUCGCGCCCAGUGGGGCCGUGAAUUGCCACCUGAUAAAGGUCGCGCUCAGAGAGGUCGUGAAUUGCCACUUGAUAAAGGUCGCGCCCAGUGGGGCCGGGAAUUGCCACCUGAUAAAGGUCGCGCUAAGUGGAGCCGUGAUGCCAUUAAUUCUAAUCUUGCCGAGUGGGGUCGUGAUUGCCACUGGUUGUUAAACCUUCCUAUAGGGCUGUGAUUGAGAGCAAUUAUUGAUUUGCUAGAAUGACAUGUAAUUGGCCAAGUCGAUUGAUCGCUAAGACGACCCAAGUGGUUGAAUUGUUCUGAUGAUGUGAUUGUGCCAUAAUUGUUUGAUGAUCAUAAUUGUACGUGGUUAAAUUAUAUAAAUUGUGCUAACCUGCAGAUGAAGGCUAAUGCGAGGUAAGUCUUCUGUGUGAUGUGGCUAGGCCACCCGAGGCGUAUUUUCUUUCUAAUAGGGGUUUAGGGGGUUGAACUUGCUGAGAAAUUGUCUCAUCCCGGUUUGGGAAUUACAAUUUCAGGUCCCUGGUGGACGAAGUGGCUAAAUAGCUUUGGUUGGCCUUAAGGAGUUGAAGAUGUGAAGUCAUAAGAAUUGGAGAAUGUGUCAUGCUAGUUGUUUUUAGGAGAAUCCCCAUUUCUGUCGAGCUGGUAUAUUUUGUAGACAAUCCAAUGUUGUAUUUAAACCCCUUUGUGUUUGUAAAUAAGUAUUUGGUAUUGUGAUUGAUUGCCUGCUUUUCUAUCCCAAGUUAAAUGUUGUCAGGGGAUUUGUUUCACUUUCGAAUGCGUAAUUAAAUGAAUG
rnacentral:lncRNA from 1 species